rnacentral:rRNA from 1 species
AUUGAACGCUGGCGGCAGGCCUAACACAUGCAAGUCGAGCGAGAGGCGGACGGGUGAGUAAUGUAUGGGGACUGCCUGAUAGAGGGGGAUAACUACUGGAAACGGUGGCUAAUACCGCAUACUAUCGGAUAACCCAUAUGGGAUUAGCUAGUAGGUGGGGUAAAGGCUCACCUAGGCGACGCUGUCUAGCUGGUCUGCGAGGAUGAUCAGCCACACUGGGACUGAGACACGGCCCAUACUCCUACGGAGGCAGCAGUGGGGAAUAUUGCACAAUGGGCGCAAGCCUGAUGCAGCCAUGCUGCGUGUAUGAAGAAGGCCUUAGGGUUGUAAAGCACUUUCAGCGGGGAGGCGUUACCCGCAGAAGAAGCACCGGCUAACUCCGUGCCAGCAGCCGCGGUAAUUC